rfam:Treponema berlinense strain ATCC BAA-909 genome assembly, contig: EI67DRAFT_scaffold00009.9
AGGUCGGUAGUUCAGUUGGUAGAGCAUCGGUCUCCAAAACCGAGUGUCGCGAGUUCGAGUCUUGCCCGGCCUG